rnacentral:rRNA from 1 species
GAGUUUGAUUAUGGCUCAGGACGAACGCUGGCGGCGUGCUUAACACAUGCAAGUCGAACGGUAAGGCCCUUUUGGGGGUACACGAGUGGCGAACGGGUGAGUAACACGUGAGUAACCUGCCCUUGACUCUGGGAUAAUUCUUCGAAAGAGGUUGUAAUACUGGAUAUGAGCUUCUGCCGCAUGGUGGGGGUUGGAAAGUUCUGGCGGUCAGGGAUGGGCUCGCGGCCUAUCAGCUUGUUGGUGAGGUAGUGGCUUACCAAGGCGACGACGGGUAGCCGGCCUGAGAGGGCGACCGGCCACACUGGGACUGAGACACGGCCCAGACUCCUACGGGAGGCAGCAGUGGGGAAUAUUGCACAAUGGGCGCAAGCCUGAUGCAGCAACGCCGCGUGAGGGAUGACGGCCUUCGGGUUGUAAACCUCUUUUAGUAGGGAAGAAAGCGUAAAGUGACGNACCUACAGAAAAAGCACCC